AACGAACGCUGGCGGCAGGCCUAACACAUGCAAGUCGAACGCCCCGCAAGGGGAGUGGCAGACGGGUGAGUAACGCGUGGGAACCUUCCCAGUGGUACGGAAUAGCCCAGGGAAACUUGGAGUAAUACCGUAUAAUACCCGAAAGGGGAAAGAUUUAUCGCCAUUGGAUGGGCCCGCGUAGGAUUAGCUAGUUGGUGAGGUAAUGGCUCACCAAGGCGACGAUCCUUAGCUGGUCUGAGAGGAUGAUCAGCCACACUGGGACUGAGACACGGCCCAGACUCCUACGGGAGGCAGCAGUGGGGAAUAUUGGGCAAUGGGCGCAAGCCUGACCCAGCCAUGCCGCGUGAGUGACGAAGGCCUUAGGGUUGUAAAGCUCUUUUGGCGGGGACGAUAAUGACGGUACCCGCAGAAUAAGCCCCGGCUAACUUCGUGCCAGCCGCCGCCGUAAAAC
rnacentral:rRNA from 1 species